rnacentral:sRNA from 1 species
AUGGCUGACACUCAAGCUACUGAAAUGGAGAGAGAAACAACUGUAAACAAAAUUACAAACACAAACAAGACAUAUCCAAAGACAAAUUAUAAACAACAAAGAGGUCAACAGGCAUCAUCAUCAUAUCAUAAUCCAAAUUACUCUAAUCGCCCAACUAGACAGACACAAUGCAGAAAUUGUGGUGGCCAAUUUCCUCAUAAAAAUGGACCGUGCCCAGCAAAUGGCAAAACAUGCAAUGCAUGUCACAAACAAAAUCACUUUGCUAAAGUAUGUCGAGGCAAAAGCAAACAAAAUAAAUACACAAGAGACAGACGGGUACAUGAAAUACAGACAGAAACGUCCCAAAGAGAAUCAUAUCAAGCAAGUCUGGAUAGUUCAGAUGAAGAAUAUUCAUAUAGUAUUAAAGAGGCAGUAUGCUCAAUAAAGAAAUCACCCUUCACUAUGAUCAAAGUAAAUAACACAACAUGUUCAAUGAUGAUAGACACUGGUGCGACAGUCAAUAUCUUGGAUGAUAAAACACAUAAAAACAUUGGCUCUCCAAAACUUAACAAAAAAUGACAUAAAACUUUUGCCUUAUGGAGGGGGCAAACCUCUUGAAGUCACAGGAGCAUGUGAGCUAGGAGUAGAAACAAAAACACAAAUAUGGUGUACACAAGUUUUACGUAGUGAGAGGCGGACACGGCGCAUUGAUUGGCUAUCCUACUGCAUCACAACUAGGACUUGUUAAAAUAAUUCAACCGAUAAGUAUACAAGCUCCCGAGAAGAGGUAUCCUGAUGUGUUCAGGGAUGAAAUUGGAAAAUACACAGGUGGUUCAGUAAAACUACAUAUUGACACUGACAUCAGACCGGUUGCGCAAAGAAACAGAAAAACAGCAUUUCACAUUAGACCAAAGGUAGAGAAGGAAAUACAAAAAUUACUAGAUCAAGACAUUAUAGAGAAAAUAGGGAAUACCCCAACACCCUGGGUGUCACCGAUUGUAACACCACCAAAGAAAAACCCUGAAGAGAUACGUCUGUGUGUAGAUAUGCGUGAGGCCAACAAGGCCAUUAUAAGAGAAAGACAUUUAUUACCGACAGUUGAGGAGCUCAUUCAUGAUUUAAAUCACGCUUCAGUCUUUAGUAAACUAGAUUUGAGAGCAGGAUAUCACCAACUAGAACUACAAGAGCCCUCUAGAUAUAUCACAACAUUCAGUACACACAUGGGAUUAUUUAGAUAUAAGAGACUUAAUUUUGGCAUCUCUUCAGCAUCAGAAAUUUUUCAAGAGACAAUUAGGUGCGUAAUACAAAACGUACAAAAUGCAAAGAACAUUUCAGACGAUAUCAUUAUAUAUGGAAAAUCUCAAGAAGAGCACGACGAAGCUCUUAACGAUACACUACAAGCUCUACAAAGAAACGGGUUAACAGUUAACAAAGCCAAAUGCGAGUUUAACAAGAGUAAAGUUACAUUUUUUGGAGUCGUAUUUUCAAAAGAGGGUAUUUCACCAGACCCGAGUAAAGUCAAGGCAGUCAAAGAUGCCACACCGCCAACGACAGUUCCAGAACUUCGUAGCUUCCUUGGAAUGACAAAUUAUUCAUCUAGAUUUAUAAGAAACUAUGCUUCUAUUUGUGAACCAUUAAGAAGGUUAACACGACACAACAUGGACUGGGAAUGGACUCCUGAGCAACAAAACGCAUUUGACAAUCUUAAAACUGAGCUAUCUAGUGAGACAGUAAUAACUUAUUUCAAUCCUUCUCUACAAACAGACAUAUAUGUUGACGCUAGUCCAGUUGGACUUGGAGCAAUUAUCUCUCAAAAUCAAAAGACAAUAGCAUAUGCAAGCAGAGCAUUAACAGAUGUAGAGUCCAGGUACAGUCAAACAGAAAGAGAGGCACUGGCCAUAGUAUGGGCCUGUGAACAUUUUGACAUUUUUAUCCGUGGAGCUAAAAAUGUAAAUAUCAUAACUGAUCAUAAGCCGCUAGAGAGGAUAUGGCAAAAGGCCAAAAUACCACUGAGAAUAGAACGAUGGGGUUUACGUCUGCAACCCUAUAAGCUUACAAUCAAGUAUCAGCCAGGGCGUGAUAAUCCUGCAGAUUACAUGUCCCGUCAUCCUAUUGCUAUGUGUAGCAAGACGCGAUCACACGAGGAGAAGGUUGCUGAACAAUAUGUGAACUUUAUUGCAAAUCAGGCAAUUCCAAAAGCAAUGUCGCUAAGCGAAGUCAAAGGCGCAAGUUUGACCGAUAGAACACUUCAAAAAGCUAUUGAAUUAACAAGAAAUGGAAAGUGGUACGAGUUAAAGAAAUUAGAUGAUCCCAAUUUAGAUAUUCAAGAACUUCAAGUAUAUCGCAGCAUUCAAGAUGAACUUGUUGUUCAUGAUGAAAACAUUUUACUUAGAGACAAUAGAAUUGUUAUGCCAAUGUCACUUCGUGACCGUGCAGUUAGUCUUGCACACGAAGGCCAUCAAGGAUUAACAAAGACAAAAGCGUUCAUCAGAUCAAAAGUUUGGUUUCCCGGCAUCAACGACAGAGUAGAUUCACUCAUCAAAGAUUGCAUAGCAUGUCAAGCUCUAACACGUUCUAAGCUAAUGGAACCACUCAAAAUGUCAGAAAUGCCAGGAGAACCAUGGACUGCACUAAGCGCAGAUUUCUGUGGUCCACUACCGUCUGGAGACUACCUAUUUGUGAUAACAGACGAAUAUUCUAGAUAUCCUGUAGUUGAGAUAAUAAGAUCCACAUCAGGUCACACUGUCAUACCAGUGUUGGACAAAGUGCUGGCGGCAUAUGGGAUUCCAAAAAUACUAAAGACCGACAAUGGAAGUCCGUUUAAUUCAUAUGAAUUUAGAGAAUAUGCUGCCAGCAUAGGAUUUUCACACAGGAGAAUCACGCCAAGAUGGCCACGGGCUAAUGCUCAAGCAGAAUCGUUUAACAAACCCAUGAUGAAAAACAUAAAAGCAGCAGAGGUAGAGAGGAAAAGUUGGAAACAAUCAAUGUAUAGAUUUUUACGGCAAUACCGCAAUACUCCACAUAGUUCAACAGGAGUAAAUCCUUUCAAAUUGCUGUUCGGAAGGGAAACAAACACAAAAUUACCGAGCAUACCAAAAGAAAAACGACCAGAACUAGAUGAAUAUGCACGCCAAAACGAUGAAAACGCAAAGACACGAAUGAAACAUUUAGCUGAUCUGAAAAAUAAAGCUAAGUCAAAUGACAUUGAAGAAGGAGACACUGUGUUAAUUAGAAAUGAAGUUAAGAAGAACAAAUUAACACCGAUAUUUGAUCCAAGACCUCAAACCGUCAUCAAGAAGAAAGGAACCAUGAUAACUGUUUCGGACAGCGAAAAGCAAACAACACGCAAUGCUUCAUUCUUCAAAAGUACAAAACACAGUGCCAAAUUCUCCGAUCAAUUGGAUGAAGAAGAAGAACUCGAUAUUGAAAUUCAUCCGAAGGAGGAAAACAAAAUAAAAUCUCCAAUUCAAAGUCGUCCAACACGUAUCCGCAAACCACCAUCAUAUCUUAAAGAUUAUGAGUGUAAAGUGAGGGGCAUAAUAAUCCCCUAA